rnacentral:rRNA from 1 species
AUUGAACGCUGGCGGCAGGCUUAACACAUGCAAGUCGAGCGGGGUGAUGGUGCUUGCACUAUCACUUAGCGGCGGACGGGUGAGUAAUGCUUAGGAAUCUGCCUAUUAGUGGGGGACAACAUCUCGAAAGGGAUGCUAAUACCGCAUACGUCCUACGGGAGAAAGCAGGGGAUCUUCGGACCUUGCGCUAAUAGAUGAGCCUAAGUCGGAUUAGCUCGUGGGUGGGGUAAAGGCCUACCAAGGCGACGAUCUGUAGCGGGUCUGAGAGGAUGAUCCGCCACACUGGGACUGAGCAACGGCCCAGACUCCUACGGGAGGCAGCAGGGGGGAAUAUUGGACAAUGGGGGGAACCCUGAACCAGCCAUGCCGCGUGUGUGAAGAAGGCCUUAUGGUUGUAAAGCACUUUAAGCGAGGAGGAGGCUACUCUAGUUAAUACCUAGGGAUAGUGGACGUUACUCGCAGAAUAAGCACCGGCUAACUCUGUGCCAGCAGCCGCAGUAA